rnacentral:rRNA from 1 species
UGUUUCGGCUAGGGGGCCAUCCCGGCUUACCAACCCGAUGCAAACUGCGAAUACCGGAGAAUGUUAUCACGGGAGACACACGGCGGGUGCUAACGUCCGUCGUGAAGAGGGAAACAACCCAGACCGCCAGCUAAGGUCCCAAAGUCAUGGUUAAGUGGGAAACGAUGUGGGAAGGCCCAGACAGCCAGGAUGUUGGCUUAGAAGCAGCCAUCAUUUAAAGAAAGCGUAAUAGCUCACUGGUCGAGUCGGCCUGCGCGGAAGAUGUAACGGGGCUAAACCAUGCACCGAAGCUGCGGCAGCGACACUCAGGUGUUGUUGGGUAGGGGAGCGUUCUGUAAGCCUGUG